CGCCUCUUGCAAAACUAACGAAUAAGAGGUCCUGCCUGCCCUGUGACCAUAGGUUCAACGGCCGCGGUAUUUUGACCGUGCAAAGGUAGCGCAAUCACUUGUCUUUUAAAUGGAGACCCGUAUGAAUGGCAAGACGAGGGCUUAACUGUCUCCUUUUUCAAGUCAAUGAAAUUGAUCUUCCCGUGCAGAAGCGGGAAUUUUAGCAUAAGACGAGAAGACCCUAUGGAGCUUUAGACACCAAGACAGGCCACGUCAAAACCCCCUAACUCAAAGGACUGAACUAGGUGGACCCUGUCCUAAUGUCUUUGGUUGGGGCGACCACGGGGAAACACAAAACCCCCGCGCGGAACGGGAGCACCCUACUCCUAAAACUGAGAGCUUCCGCUCUAACAAACAGAAUUUCUGACCAACAAGAUCCGGCAACGCCGAUCAACGAACCGAGUUACCCUAGGGAUAACAGCGCAAUCCUCUUUUAGAGCCCAUAUCGACAAGAGGGUUUACGACCUCGAUGUUGGAUCAGGACAUCCUAAUGGUGCAGCCGCUAUUAAGGGUUCGUUUGUUCAACGAUGAAAGUCCU
rnacentral:rRNA from 1 species